GAAAUGCGAUAAGUAAUGUGAAUUGCAGAAUUCAGUGAAUCAUCGAAUCUUUGAACGCACAUUGCGCCCGGCAGCAAUCUGCCGGGCAUGCCUGUCCGAGCGUCAUUUCUGCCCUCGAGCGCGGUUCGGCCCCUAGCGGGCCGGCCGCCGCCCGGUGUUGGGGCGCUGCGUGCCCUCGUGCCCGCAGGCCCUGAAAUGAAGUGGCGGUCCCGCCGCGGCGCCCCCUGCGUAGUAGUAAAGCACCUCGCAUCGGGUCCCGGCGGAGGCCAGCCGUCGAACCUCUCUUUUGAUGGUUUGACCUCGGAUCAGGUAGGGUUACCCGCUGAACUUAAGC
rnacentral:misc_RNA from 1 species